rnacentral:rRNA from 1 species
UCGGGAAUUUUGGGCAAUGGGCGAAAGCCUGACCCAGCAACGCCGCGUGAAGGAUGAAGUAUUUCGGUAUGUAAACUUCGAAAGAAUAGGAAGAAUAAAUGACGGUACUAUUUAUAAGGUCCGGCUAACUACGUGCCAGCAGCCGCGGUAAUACGUAGGGACCAAGCGUUGUUCGGAUUUACUGGGCGUAAAGGGUGCGUAGGUUGUUUGAUAAGAUAUAUGUGAAAUACCUGGGCUCAACCUGGGAAGGUCAUAUAAGACUGUCAGACUCGAGUAUGGGAGAGGGUAGAGGAAUUUCCGGUGUAGCGGUGAAAUGCGUAGAUAUCGGAAGGAACAUCGGUGGCGAAGGCGUCUACCUGGCCUAAUACUGACACUGAGGCACGAAAGCGUGGGGAGCAAACAGGAUUAGAUACCCCCGUAGUCCCUGAGCGGGCUGGCAAGGCGCAU